UACGGGGGGGGCAAGCGUUGUUCGGAAUUAUUGGGCGUAAAGAGCUCGUAGGCGGUUUGUCGCGUCGGCUGUGAAAACCCGAGGCUUAACCUCGGGCCUGCAGUCGAUACGGGCAGACUAGAGUUCGGUAGGGGAGACUGGAAUUCCUGGUGUAGCGGUGAAAUGCGCAGAUAUCAGGAGGAACACCGGUGGCGAAGGCGGGUCUCUGGGCCGAUACUGACGCUGAGGAGCGAAAGCGUGGGGAGCGAACAGG
rnacentral:rRNA from 1 species